rnacentral:rRNA from 1 species
UAUGUGAUCGUCUCUCGCAUAUCAAUAAGCGGAGGAAAAGAAACUAACAAGGAUUCCCCUAGUAACGGCGAGUGAAGCGGGAAGAGCUCAAAUUUGAAAUCUUAAAGGGUUUCCCUUUACGAAUUGUAGUUUAAAGAAGUGUUUUCUGUUGAGGUUUUGGUAAAAGUUCUUUGGAAUAGGACAUCAUAGAGGGUGAGAAUCCCGUAUUUGACCUUUACUUUCAACUUUGUGAUACACUUUCAAAGAGUCGGAUUGUUUGGGAAUGCAGUCCAAAAUGGGUGGUAAAUUUCAUCUAAAGCUAAAUAUUGGCGAGAGACCGAUAGCGAACAAGUACCGUGAGGGAAAGAUGAAAAGAACUUUGAAAAGAGAGUUAAACAGUACGUGAAAUUGUCAAAAGGGAAGCGUUUGACACCAGUGUUGUUUUUCUGAAAAUCAAUUAAAGAACUGUUUAUGCUAAGCUUGUUUAGACUUUAUCAGCUAUCUGUUUAGUUUUGAGCUUUUCUUUAAUGCACUUUUCAGUUAACAAGUCAACAUCAAUUUCUUUUGCUGUAAAAAAGCUUGAGGAAGGUGGCUUGAGAUUCGUCUUAAGUGUUUAUAGCCUCUUGCCUAUGCAGUCGGAGAGAUUGAGGUCUGCAGCGUAGAUCCUUUGGGGCUAAAUGCAUUUGUGCUAAGUUAUAGCAUUUUAUAGACAACUUGUUGACUAUGAUUUGUCUUGUAGCUUACUCGCUUAUGUUAUUUUACCUACGCUUAGGAUGUUGAAGACUCUACAGAGAUA